rnacentral:rRNA from 1 species
AUACGGAGGGUGCAAGCGUUAUUCGGAAUCACUGGGCGUAAAGGACACGUAGGCGGGAAGCCAAGUCUGAUGUGAAAUCCUACAGCUUAACUGUAGAACUGCAUUGGAAACUGGUUACCUAGAGUAUGGGAGGGGGAGAUGGAAUUAGUGGUGUAGGGGUAAAAUCCGUAGAUAUCACUAGGAAUACCGAAAGCGAAGGCGAUCUCCUGGAACAUAACUGACGCUAAGGCGUGAAAGCGUGGGGAGCAAACAGGAUUAGAAACCCUAGUAGUCC